AUACGUAGGUGGCAAGCGUUGUCCGGAAUUAUUGGGCGUAAAGCGCAUGUAGGCGGUUUGGUAAGUCGGUCGUGAAAAUGCGGUGCUUAACGCCGUAUGGCGAUUGAAACUGCUGAACUUGAGUGCAGGAGAGGAAAGGGGAACUCCCAGUGUAGCGGUGAAAUGCGUAGAUAUUGGGAAGAAAACCGGUGGCGAAGGCGCCUUUCUGGACUGUGUCUGACGCUCAGAUGCGAAAGCCAGGGUAGCGAACGGGAUUAGAUACCCCGGUAGUCCUGGCCGUAAACGAUGGGUACUAGGUGUGGGAGGUAUCGACUCCUUCCGUGCCGGAGUUAACGCAAUAAGUAUUCCACCUGGGGAGUACGGCCGCAAGGUUGAAACUCAAAAGAAUUGACGGGG
rnacentral:rRNA from 1 species